UCCUAAAUGCUGGGAUUACAGGAAUAGG
rnacentral:piRNA from 1 species